rnacentral:lncRNA from 1 species
AUUGGAAGCAAUCUCAGGCGUAUAGAUAUUGAAUUGGAGAAGGGUAACGAGUUAUGAGGAAAAACGGCGACGUUUCUCUGAAGCCGACAACUUCCGACGGAGGAGUCGUGUCUCGAUCAGCUCGGACCUCGUUCCGUGCUCUGUUUCGUGUCAUUUUCUCCGGCGCCUCCACCGUCGCUCGCUCCGCCGCAUCCGCCGCUUCUUCCGCCGUUAACCGUGACGUUGAAUCUCUUCACGAUCAGGUUAAAAAAUUGCAAAUUAAGCAACUUUAGCUGUGUUGUUACCCAAAGUUAAGACCUUUAUAUAAUGGGUUUGCUUCAUUUGUUUGUUAGCUUUUAAAAGAUUGGACCUUUUAGAAAUAUUGGAACUUUACCUGUGAUGCUAGUCAAAGUUAAGAGCUUUCUAUAAUGGGUUUGUUUCAUUUGUUUUAAAAGCUUUAAAAAGAUCAAACCUUUAUAGGUUGUGGAUAGUGUUCUGUUUUAUUGAAAAGUUGAAUUCUCUUUUUUUUUAGGUACUAUGGGCGGGGUUUGAUAAGCUGGAGAAAGAAGAUGGCGAGACACGGAGAGUUCUCUUACUUGCGUUUCACUCCGGUUUUCAAAUUUGGGAUGUUGAAGAAACAGAUAACGUUCAUGUUAUAGUCUCUUCCCACGAUGGACAAGCGUCUUUUAUGCAAAUGCUGCCAAACCCUAUAACCUCGGAGGAGUUUGACGAUAGGUUCUCCGAGAGCCGUCCGCUUUUAGCCGUCUGUGGUGACAGUUCUUGGGAAGAACAUAGCGUUUCCGACAUCCCUGGAAGCGAGACCGUGACGGUUCCUACGAAUGUGCAUGUCUACUCGUUAAGAUCUCAGUCUUAUGUCCAUACCUUGAGGUUCCGGUCUGUUAUCUAUACCGUUAGGUGUAGUUCUCGGAUCGUUGCUGUCCUACAAGCAUCUCAGGUUCGAGUUUUGUCCUAUUAAUUUUUUUCGAUUUUAGGUAUUAUAUCAUCACCAUCAUCUUCUUCCUUAACGAUUCAGCUUAACUAUUUUCAGCUCGAUCGCUGAUUCUUUCUUCAGGGUUUUGCAAAUUUUCAAUUUCUUUGCUUUGAUCAAAGCUUUAAUCUUCACAAAAAUCUUAAAAUUGGAAGCAAUCUCAGGCGUAUAGAUAUUGAAUUGGAGAAGGGUAACGAGUUAUGAGGAAAAACGGCGACGUUUCUCCGAAGCCGACAACUUCCGACGGAGGAGUCGUGUCUCGAUCAGCUCGGACCUCGUUCCGUGCUCUGUUUCGUGUCAUUUUCUCCGGCGCCUCCACCGUCGCUCGCUCCGCCGCAUCCGCCGCUUCUUCCGCCGUUAACCGUGACGUUGAAUCUCUUCACGAUCAGGUUAAAAAAUUGCAAAUUAAGCAACUUUAGCUGUGUUGUUACCCAAAGUUAAGACCUUUAUAUAAUGGGUUUGCUUCAUUUGUUUGUUAGCUUUUAAAAGAUUGGACCUUUUAGAAAUAUUGGAACUUUACCUGUGAUGCUAGUCAAAGUUAAGAGCUUUCUAUAAUGGGUUUGUUUCAUUUGUUUUAAAAGCUUUAAAAAGAUC